UACAGAGGUCCCAAGCGUUGUUCGGAUUCACUGGGCGUAAAGGGUGCGUAGGUGGCGGGGUAAGUCUGAUGUGAAAUCUCCAAGCUUAACUUGGAAAUGGCAUUGGAAACUACUCUGCUCGAGGGUUGGAGGGGGGACUGGAAUUCCUGGUGUAGCAGUGAAAUGCGUAGAUAUCAGGAGGAAUACCGAUGGCGAAGGCAGGUCUCUGGGCUGACACUGACGCUCAUGCACGAAAGCGUGGGGAGCAAACAGG
rnacentral:rRNA from 1 species